rnacentral:rRNA from 1 species
AAUAUUGGACAAUGGGGGCAACCCUGAUCCAGCCAUGCCGCGUGUGUGAAGAAGGUCGUCGGAUGGUAAAGCACUUUAAGUUGGGAGGAAGGGCUGUAGGCUAAUACCCUGAAGUUUUGACGUUACCAACAGAAUAAGCACCGCCUAACUCACUGCCAGCAGCCGCGGUAAUACAGAGGUUGCAAGCGUUAAUCGGAAUUACUUGGCGUAAAACGCGAGUAGGUGGUUCAGUAAGAUGGGUGUGAAAUACCCGGGCUUAACCUGGGAACUGCUUUCAUAACUGCUGGGCUAGAGUACGGUAGAGGGUAGAGGAAUUUCCUGUGUAGCGGUGAAAUGCGUAGAUAUAGGAAGGAACACCAGUGGCGAAGACGACUACCUGGACUGAUACUGACACUGAGGUGCGAGAGCGUGGGGAGCGAACA